UUCCGGUUGAUCCUGCCGGAGGCUACCGCUAUUGGAGUUCGAUUAAGCCAUGCGAGUCGAGAGUCUUAGGGACUCGGCGUACCGCUCAGUAACACGUGGGUAACCUGCCCUAUGCUGGGGAAUAACCUCGGGAAACUGAGAAUAAUACCCCAUAGUUCACCACGCCUGGAACGGUGGGUGGAUGAAAGCUCCGGCGGCAUAGGAUGGGCCUGCGACGUAUCAGGUUGUAGGGGGUGUAACGUACCCUCUAGCCAUCAACGCGUACGGGUGUUGGGAGACAUAGCCCGGAGAUGGAUUCUGAGACACGAAUCCAGACCCUACGGGGUGCAGCAGGCGCGAAAACUUGGCAAUGCGAGCAAUCGUGACCAGGGAACUCCAAGUGGCUGGGGUAAUACCCAGUUUUUUCUUGACUCUUCAAAGGUCUUGGAAUAAGGGGUGGGUAAGGACGGUGCCAGCCGCCGCGGUAAUACCGGCGCCUCAAGUGGUAGUCGCUUUUAUUGGGCCUAAAACGUCCGUAGCCGGUCUGGUGCAUUCGUGGGUAAAUCAACCCGCUCAACGGGUUGAAUUCUGCGAGCACGGCCAGACUUGGGACCGGGAGAGGUGUGGGGUACUCUCAGGGUAGGGGUAAAAUCCUGUCAUCCUGAGAGGACCACCUGUUGCGAAGGCGCCACACUAGAACGGAUUCGACGGUCAGGGACGAAACCUAGGGGCACGAACCGGAUUAGAUACCCGGGUAGUCCUAGGUGUAAACGCUGUGGACUUGAUGUUGGGGGUGCUCCGAGCACUCUCAGUGUCGAAGCGAAGGUGAUAAGUCCACUGCCUGGGGAGUACGGUCGCAAGGCUGAAACUUAAAGGAAUUGGCGGGGGAGCACUGCAACCUGAGGAUUGUGCGGUUUAAUUGGACUCAACGCCGGGA
rnacentral:rRNA from 1 species